UACGAGGGGGGCAAGUGUUGUUCGGAAUCACUGGGCGUAAAGGGAGCGUAGGCGGAAAGUUAAGUCGGAUGUUUAAAACGGGGGCCCAACCCCCGCGUGGCAUCCGAAACUGGCUUUCUUGAAUGGAAGAGAGGCCGGUGGAAUUGGAGGUGUAGCGGUGGAAUGCGUAGAGAUCUCCAAGAACACCCGUUGCGAAGGCGGCCGGCUGGCUUCACAUUGACGCUGAGGCUCGAAAGCGUGGGGAGCAAACAGG
rnacentral:misc_RNA from 1 species